ACGAACGCUGGCGGCGUGCUUAACCCAUGCAAGUCGAACGGAAAGGCCCUGCUUUUGUGGGGUGCUCGAGUGGCGAACGGGUGAGUAACACGUGAGUAACCUGCCCUUGACUUUGGGAUAACUUCAGGAAACUGGGGCUAAUACCGGAUAGGAGCUCCUGCUGCAUGGUGGGGGUUGGAAAGUUUCGGCGGUUGGGGAUGGACUCGCGGCUUAUCAGCUUGUUGGUGGGGUAGUGGCUUACCAAGGCUUUGACGGGUAGCCGGCCUGAGAGGGUGACCGGCCACAUUGGGACUGAGAUACGGCCCAGACUCCUACGGGAGGCAGCAGUGGGGAAUAUUGCACAAUGGGCGGAAGCCUGAUGCAGCAACGCCGCGUGCGGGAUGACGGCCUUCGGGUUGUAAACCGCUUUCGCCUGUGACGAAGCGUGAGUGACGGUAAUGGGUAAAGAAGCACCGGCUAACUACGU
rnacentral:rRNA from 1 species